GUGAACCUGCGGAAGGAUCAUUACUGAGUGAGGGCCCUCUGGGUCCAACCUCCCACCCGUGUUUAUUUACCUUGUUGCUUCGGCGGGCCCGCCUUAACUGGCCGCCGGGGGGCUUACGCCCCCGGGCCCGCGCCCGCCGAAGACACCCUCGAACUCUGUCUGAAGAUUGUAGUCUGAGUGAAAAUAUAAAUUAUUUAAAACUUUCAACAACGGAUCUCUUGGUUCCGGCAUCGAUGAAGAACGCAGCGAAAUGCGAUACGUAAUGUGAAUUGCAAAUUCAGUGAAUCAUCGAGUCUUUGAACGCACAUUGCGCCCCCUGGUAUUCCGGGGGGCAUGCCUGUCCGAGCGUCAUUGCUGCCCUCAAGCACGGCUUGUGUGUUGGGCCCCGUCCUCCGAUUCCGGGGGACGGGCCCGAAAGGCAGCGGCGGCACCGCGUCCGGUCCUCGAGCGUAUGGGGCUUUGUCACCCGCUCUGUAGGCCCGGCCGGCGCUUGCCGAUCAACCCAAAUUUUUAUCCAGGUUGACCUCGGAUCAGGUA
rnacentral:rRNA from 1 species